rnacentral:rRNA from 1 species
GACGAACGCUGGCGGCGUGCUUAACACAUGCAAGUCGUGCGGUAAGGCCCUUUCUGGGGUACACGAGCGGCGAACGGGUGAGUAACACGUGAGCAACCUGCCCUUCACUUUGGGAUAACUGCCGGAAACGGUGGCUAAUACCGGAUAUGACUUCCUCACUCAUGUUGGGUGGUGGAAAGCCUUCGGGUGGUGGGGGAUGGGCUCGCGGUCUAUCAGCUUGUUGGUGGGGUGAUGGCCUACCAAGGCUUCGACGGGUAGCCGGCCUGAGAGGGUGACCGGACACACUGGGACUGAGACACGGCCCAGACUCCUACGGGAGGCAGCAGUGGGGAAUAUUGGACAAUGGGAGAAAGCCUGAUCCAGCAACGCCGCGUGAGGGAUGACGGCCUUCGGGUUGUAAACCUCUUUCGCCUGCGACGAAGCGAGAGUGACGGUAGCAGGUAAAGAAGCACCGGCCAACUACGUG